rnacentral:misc_RNA from 1 species
AAGAGUUACCUAACUCCCAAACCCAUGUGAACUUACCUCUGUUGCCUCGGCAGGUCGCACCUUACCCCGUAAGGUCCUACCCUGUAGGACCCUACCCGGUAGGUGCGCAUGGCCUGCCGGCGGCCCACGAAACUCUGUUUUAAAUAUUGUAUUCUGAACCUAUAACUAAAUAAGUUA